UCUGCUAGUGAGAACUGAAGAG
rnacentral:misc_RNA from 1 species